AAAGGUUUAUGCUUAUGGUUUAGUUUUUCAUUAGGGUUUAAGGUUUUAGGGUUUAGAGAUUAAGGUUUAAGUUUAUUUUUAGGGUUUUAGGUUUAAGGUUUAUAAUUUAUAAUUUAUAAUUUAAGGUUUAAAGUUUAGGUUUACUGUUUAGGUUUUAUGUUUAGGGUUUGUAGUUUUAGUUUAGGGUUUAGGGUUUAGUUGGAAUUUAAUUGUUGGGUUUUUUGUUUUUGAUUUUAGUUUUAGGGUUUAAGUUUUAGUAUUUAUAAUUUAGGAUUUAUGGUUUAUAUUUAGGGUUGAUGGUUGGAGCUUAGGGUUUAUAAUUUAAGUAUAGGGUUUAGUUUUUAUGUUUAUGGUUUGUGAUUUUGGUUUUAGGGUUUAAUGUUUAGUAUUGAGGAUUUUGGUUUAUAUUUUGUGUUUAAAAUUAGGGUUUAAGGUUUAUGGUUUAUGAUUUAAAUAUAUGGUUUAAUGUUUAGGUUUAAUUUUUGUGAUUCUAUAUUUAGGGUUUAUAAUUCCUAAUUUAUUAUAUAUAUUUAGUGUUUAGGGUUUAAGAUUAUAGUUUUAGGGUUUAUGUUUAAUUAUAAGGUUGAAGGUUUAUUUUUAUGGUUUUAAGGUUUAGGGUUUAGGGUUUUACUUUAAGGUUUAGUGUUUAGUGUUUGAGGUUAUGGUUUAGGAUAUAAUUAGGGUUUAUGCUUAUGGUUUAGUUUUUGUUAGGGUUUAGGGUUUAAAGUUUAGGGUUUGUGUUUAGUGUUUAGGGUUUAACGUUCGAGUUUAGGUUUAUUAUUUAUAUAUAAGUUUUAGGGUUUCUAGUUUUAUCUUAGGUUUUUAUUUUAAGGUUUAAGGUUUUGUGUUUCUGUUUAUGGUUUAUGAUAUAAUGAGGGUUUAUGUUUAGGUUUUAAGGUUUUUAAUUCUAGUUUUAGGGUUUAUAUGUAUAUUUUAUUAUUUGUGAUUAGGGUUUAGUGUUUAAGGUUUAGUUUUUAGGAUUUAGGAUUUAUGGUUUAUAUUUAAGGUUUAUUGUUAAGUUUAGGGUUUAUAGUUUAUCAUUUAGGGUUUAGUUUUUACUGUUUGAGAGUAUGGUUUAUGGUUUAAGGUUUAAUUUUAGGGUUUAAGGUUUUAGAGUUUCAAGGUUUAAGCUUUGGUAGUUUAAUUUUAGGGUUUUAAGAUUUAGAGUUUAUUAUAUAAUUAUAGUGUUUAUGGUUUACGUUUAGGGAUUAAGGCUUAUGAUUUGUGUUUAGCUUUUGAGUUUAUAUUUAGGGUUUUAGGUUUAAGAUUGAUAAUUUAUAAUUUAUAAUUUAGGGGUUUGUAGUUUUAGUUUAAGGUUUAGGGUUUAGAGUUUAAGGUUGAGAAUUUAAUUCUAGGGUUUUUAUUUGUGAUUUUAGUUUUAGGGUUUAAGGUUUAGUAUUUAUCAUUUAGGAUUUACGGUUUAUAUUUAGGGUUGAUGGUUUGAGUUUAGGGUUUAUAAUUUAAUUGUAAGGUUUGGUGGUUUAGGGUUUAUGAUAUAAUAAGGGUUUAUGUUUAGGGUUUAGGGUUUUUAAUUCUAGUUUUAGGGUUUAUAUGUAUAUUUUAUUAUUGGUGAUUAGGGCUUAAGGUUUAUUUUUUAGGAUUUAGGAUUUAUGGUUUAUAUUUAGGUUUUAUUAUUUAAGUUUAGGGUUUAUAGUUUAUCGUUUAGUGUCUAGUUUCUAAUGUUUGAGUUCAAGGUUUUUGGUUUAAAGUUUAAUUUUAGGGUUUAUGGUUUUAGGGUUUAAGAUUUGGUAGUUUAGUUUUAGGGUUUUAAGAUUUGAGGUUUAUUGUAUAAUUAUAGUGUUUAUGUUUACAUUUAGGGAUUAAGGCUUAUGAUUUGUGUUUAGGGUUUAAGUUUAUGUUUAGGGUUUUAGGUUUAAGGUUUAUAAUUUUAAUUAAUAAUUUAGGGUUUAAAGUUUAGAUUUAGUGUUUAGGUUUUAUGUUUAGGUUUUAUAGUUUUAGUUUAGGGUUUAAGGUUUAGAAUUUAAUUGUCGUGUUUUUUGUUUCUGAUUUUAGUUUUAGGGUUUAAGUUUUAGUAUUUAUAAUUUAGGAUUUAUGGUUUAUAUUCAGGGCUGAUGGUUGGAGUUUAGGGUUUAUAAUUUAAGUAUAGGGUUUAGUUUUUAUGUUUUUGGUUUGUGAUUUUGGUUUUAGGGUUUAAUGUUUAGUAUUGAGGAUUUGUGGUUUAUAUUUUGUGUUUAA